UCACGCAACGACGUCUUACGCACGACCACACGCGGACAACCUGAGUACCUCGUCUUCAUUCCUUUGACGGAGUCGGGAUUCGAUCUUGAGCUUGCCGUCGUGGGUUUCGAUUGCCACCGGAGACGCGAUUUGGAAAAGAAGAAGAAGACGUUUGAUUCGGUGCAAACAGGUCCAUUUCUUGGCUUUGAUUUUAUGUUAUUAUUUAUUUUUGUUUCGUUAAUGC
rnacentral:lncRNA from 1 species